UUUGGAAAGUUUUCAUUUUUUUGAGAAAUAUUGUAGAUUUGGGUUUGUGAUUUAGAAAUUAGGAUAACAAGAAUAUUUGUAGAUAGAUGAGUAUUCUUUAAGAAUUUUUCAGCAAUAUGUUGUAUUCUUAAAUAAUUUUCUUAAAAAUUGCUAUUUUUGGAAAGUUUUCAUUUUUUGAGAAAUAUUGUAGAUUUGGGUUUGUGAUUUAGAAAUUAGAAUAACAAGAAUGUUUGUAGAUAGAUAAGUAUUCUUUGAGACAUUUUCAGCAAUUAAAGCUAUAAAGCUAUAAUGGUAUUCUAUUGUAGAUAAAUUAGAAUAACAAGAAUCUCCUACCUAGUCUAUUUUUUAUUUUAAAAUAGAAUUUUGAAAAAUGCUAUAAUGGUAUUCUAUUUUCCACAAAACAGGUUUAUAUAUAGAGUAAAUUAUUUAUUUUUUGUUCGAUCACUUCAUUUUCAAUCUAAAAUAGAGUACCAUUGGAGCAUCAUCUAACUCUAUUAUAGUUACAAAACAAAAAAUUGUUAUUAGCUUUAAACUAAUAGUUGCUCCAAUCGAAUAACGAUUUUUGUUUUAACUAAAUUAAAAUUAGCUUAUUAUAUUCUUAACUUUAGGUAAUUUAGUUCACUCUUUUAUAUAUACUAGGAACAGAGCCCCCGUGCAAGCGCGAGGUUGUUGAUUAUUAAAUGUGUUGUAAUACUUUAAAAAUGUUAUAGAAGGUGUUGUGGAGUGAUUUUUUUUUUGUUAAGCCGUAGUGGUUUAUAAUAGAUCGCAAGCGCGGGGUUUCUUUGCAUUGUGUUUCCUUUGUAGAUUGAUGUCUAAUUUAGUGUAUGUGUUAACAUUAUGAUUUCUGUUUCGACCAUCCUUCACUCUAUGGUCCAAUUUUUUUGUAUUUUUCUUUUAUUUUGUUUCAUUUCUAUAGUCUAUUACUUCUCUCCUUUCUGUAUCCAUUUUUAUUGUUUGAUUGUUCAUGUUUAAAAUUAUGUCAUUUUUUUUUUCAAAUUUACCCUAUGAAAAAUAUCGGUAUUAGUAGCACAACGAAAAUGCGACAUACGGUUCUCAUAGCGUUUCUAUAAACGCUAUGACAGCCGCAGCUAUGAUAGACGUCCCCUCUAUCAUAGCGUUUGUAUAUGCUAAGAUAAGUAGAGAUAUUAUAGCGUUUAUUCGUGUACUAUAAAUUAAUAUUUUAUAACAUUUAAAUUUGGGCUAUGAUAUUCGUUUUCAUGGAUUUUUUAAUGCUGUAAAAUAUUUUUAAUAACAUAAAUAAAAUGCUAUAAUUAAGAAUAAAACAUUAAAAAUUAAAUUAAUUUUAGGACCAUAUAAGAUAACUUUGGGCGGGGUCAUUUCCUAGAACUUAUCAGGUUUCCUUCUAGCAUCGAAGAAUAUUAUUUUGUAGUAAACAAAAAAAAGAAAAUCAUUACUAAUUUUAUUUUUUACUAAAAAAUGGAGUAUAAUUGAAACAUUUCUUAUAUAAAACUUUAUUUUAGAAUAAGAAAUAGAGUGAGGUAAGAUCUAUUAAUAUUCUUCGGUUUAAAAUCUAGUAUAUUGAUUCAACCGUAGAAAAUAGUAACUGGAGUGACCAAUUUUUAAAGAUUGUGAAAAUAUCGCUAUAUGUGUUACAAAAAAAAAAAUAUCGCUAUACAACAAAAAAAAAACUACAUAUUGCUGCUUCUUAGAGGAUGCAUUAAAGUUUUUAAUAAAAAAAAUAUAGAGUGGAGUUGAAAAUGCUCUAAGCAUUUGUAUAUAAGUCUUAACUUUCAUCAUUUAGUGAGUAAGAGCAUAUAAGUUUUAACUUUCAUCAUUUAGUGAUUAAGAGAAUAGUUAGAAGAUAAAUAUAUUUGAAUAUAUAUAUUGUUAAAGUGUUCAACUGAUUUAAACUUUGUUUUUGCUUUAAAAUCAUUGAAAUCCAAGUAAAAGAUAUUCUUUUAUACACUUUUAACUUCUUCCAUUAAGGGUUAGGGGAGUUCCAAACAAUAUUUAAAACAUGAAUAUAUGAUUGUAAUAAAGUGAUUAAUGUAUAAAUUCUAGUUUUGAAGUUUUUUUUCUUCUCCCUAAUCAUAAAUAAUUGAUCUUAAUUAACUAAAUAUUCAAAACACAUCAGUUUCUUGGGUCAAAGCAAUCGUUUGAGUGAUGUGACGUGUGUUACUCUGUUUCCUCAUAAAUUCUAUCACUCUUUUCUUUCAAUCCACGCUUCUUGCUUUUACUAUCUUAUUUGAACCACUUCGUUUUUGUUACAUGCAUGUUCCUGUGAAUUCUAAUGAGCACCAUCGGUACAAUUCUAUAGAGUAUAGUUGUGACUCGUGAGGUUUCUUCUAGUUCCACAACUUAGGAUCAUAAGCGAUUAAAAUCAGUAAACCAAAACUAAGCACAUAGUCAUGUCCUAUUCGAUUUCCUUACAUUAUCCUUGCAAGACGCAAGAGAAUCUCCCUAGUCAGUAUCUGUUCAGCUCUGUUCCUCCAGAUUUUGUUAUUCAUUAACUUGUAUCUUUGAACCUUUCUUCUUCUCCUCUAAAGAUAAUUCGGCCAGCCAAUGGCUCUGUCUCUGCUUUCUCUGGAGCUUCUCUCCUCUGCUACCAAUGUUAUCUCUCUGUCACCAUUCCUGCGUAUCUACUUGAGCGCCUCUGUUUCUCUUAUUAGUUGAAGAAAAUAUAAAAAGCACCAAUAAGAGAAACCUCUAGUGAGAAAAUAAUCAACAUCAUGGACAAUUGCCCAAAGUAUCAGCAACAUUUAAAUUCUAAAAAGUAGUGAAUUCUUGUGAAGCAAGUCAGACCCAAUUUAAGUAGACCAAAGGAAAUGCCUUUUUUUACAUUAGAAGAAAAACAGUGAGCGAAACACAGAGGAUAUGCUCAUCGAGCCGAAGAAGAGGUUAAAAGGUAAUAGAUCCAAACGCAUCCAAUAACGUCAAUGUCAUUGUAAAAUACAAACCCAUAAAUCAUCGUUCAGUAGACUAACAAAGGGUAUGAGGAAAGAAAGAGAGAAUAUCAUACACUGGUUAUUCUGUUCUUCAUUCUUCGGGAAGAAAGAGUCACUCCCAUCAAGUUGUGUAGAUGGAAAACCCAAUCUAUGAAGCCUCUCAUUUUACCUGCACAGCAAAAAGGACAACGCUGACGUAGCUUCCAUGAAAUGCAGGAACUACAAAAGGCUAAAGGUUGGUUAACACAGUUGCAAACGAUACUUCUUUUGAGCUAAAUAUCUAUAGAACAAAUGACAGUGUCAUGAUUGCAUCUUAUUAGUGAUAGGACCGUACUAUAUAAACUACGGAGAGCUGAAUAUUGUAAAUAAUAAAAUUGAUAAAAGUAUACCAAAGAUUAAGAAAAAGAUGAUACAACUGCAGAGGCGAGAUAUUAUCUCUUUCCUUAACUCAAAAUACGUCCCGUAGUGCGACGGUUUGAUAACGUAAUGAGUCCCAAGAUACAACUGCAAAAAAUCUUCUGAUUUGCGUCACUCUAUCAGAAGCCUGGCGAAACUAGUUUUGUGUAUACUCUCAGACUCAAAAGAACAAAUCAGAGAAAAAAGAAAAAAUGGAGAAUUGUUAUUUUGCCGUGUAAUGAAAACUGCACAAGUGAUCUCUUUUUAUAACUUGAAGAGAAAGUACACGUUAUGCAAAUAAAAGGAGUCAACUAACAUACAUAUCAAUUAUUAUUAUGGAAUUGAUUUCCAAGAUCUCGUACGUUAGUUUGCAAAGUAAUAUUGUGACUUUGACCAAGUCAUCAAACUUAAAAAUACUUUGCUUGGGUUUAUCAAGAAUAAAAUUAACUAAAUAAGUUAAUUGACAUAAUGUCUCAUUAACAAAUUUAAAUUUAAACUCUAACCCAAAUAUCCAAAGUGAUCCAUUUGCUAAAUCUUUUAUACUUAGCCAAAUUUAAAACUUUAUACAUCACUCACUUUGGACCUCCAUUUCUCAUUCAACACAACUCCGAUUUUGACCAACAAAUACACUAACGCAUAGUGUUCACGGUGACGAUUGCAUCGUGCCCAAAUUCCGGUCUUUCCGACAGACGUCUCCGUCGAAAAACCCAUCGGAAAAAUGGUCCACACCACUUUGUCAAAAACGAGUUCCAACAAUUAGCUGAAAAAGAAACCCAGUUCCCCAGAUUUCAUGAAUCUAUGUUCAGCAAGUGGGCUCGUUGGAACAUUGUAACCUGAGAACUGCAAUGAGUCGUGCGAAAAAUGAAAGAGAAUCCAAUGAAUAAGAAGAAGAUAGUCUAAUUCUCUACCGCACAAUACUCUUUUUUUAGCAUAUUACCGCACAGUACUCAAAACUGUAUCAUCUGUGGGAGAAAAGAGGUUGAAUUGAAGGAACUAAGACAGUCCAAGGCAAAAGAAAAUCUCUGCAGUUUCAGGUUUUGGAAUAAGUUAGUUCUAAAAGCUUGUUCCUAUUUACAUUUGGUGGUUAAAAACUGCAGGUGUCAAAGUCUGUACUCAGACGUAUGCGGUUUCUUGAGAUUAAGAUUGAAGAGUUAAUGAACAUUCUAAGAGCUAUACCGGGAUGCUGGAGAUAGGGGUCAACUGAAAUCAUCUUUGUGAACCAAAUAGCCCAACCCCAUCUCUUCUUUCAGGUGCUUCAAUAAAAUAAGACACAGAAUCAAUAAAAGUAAACACUAACAUAAUAAUCUUGCAUGUUGAUCUAAAAUCAAGCUUUAACAUCAUAGGAUAAAUUUUACUAUGAAACUGCAUAUGCUUACUCUUUAAACUGUAGAUGCACCAAGACUCGCCAACUUGCUCUGUCCAUUCCGUCAAGAACCGGCCGUUGGUGGAGAGGCUGCUCAUUGGUGAGCGUCAUAGUCACCUCUUGGGCGGCUCAAAAUAUUUUAAUGAAUGGAAACUGAAUCUAUCUGAGUCAAUCACCACCUGGUUUUCUUGAAACGGAGUUGUGUGUUAAACAAAUGGAGAGACUGUGACAGUCAAACAAAUGGUACAACAAUACCCUUUGGUAAAUGAAAGAAGUUAGUCACUGGAUUUGGAAUUUGAGACGGAACAUAAUCGGAAGAGGACAAUGAUUUCAUACCUGUUCAAUACUAAUAAGCAUACCCCCUCUGGAUGUGUUUCGUGCUUCCCAUAAGUGUACUAACCGGAAACCUAGCUCCACCUCUCCCAAACCACGAGUGACGUUGUUGAAGAUCAGAGUUUUGUGGGUUCCAGCAAUCGCAUACCACACUUCAACCUUAUCGAAACAAAAGAAAAAAAAUUGUGAGAAUCUGUAAGACUGGAUCAAAUGAAUCGACAUCAAAACUAAAAGGCUACGGCUUUUCAAAUGGGUUAUCAACACCAUUGAAGAAAAAAAGAAAUUGAUCAUCGCCAUAACUUUAGAUUUGAACUACAGAGACUUGCCGAUAGAGGCAUGGGACUUUCGGUUUGAUUUUGUUGACAGAGCUUUCGAUUUUUCGCUGGACGCUUUUGGGUUUGCUUGCUUGUAAGUAAGUUCAGACGAGGCGGUUGAGCAAUCUUUAUAUGAGGAUAAGGAGAGGGAGGUGGAACGAAACUACAAAGGAAUUAGUAAGCACCAUUGAUUAAUCAAGAAGAGCUCACCGUAACGGACAUCAGGGAGAACCGAGAUGGUGAAGACGAAGUGGAACGCAAUCGAUGCGUCAGAUAGUAUGAUUAUUGUUUGUUGGGUUCGACCUAGGAUCGAGUUAAUUUUUUACGACACUUUAAGCCCAUUUCUCUCUUUCCUUACGUGGUCAAAUAACUGUUUUUCAUUGGUCAAUUUUUUAAUCCUACGUGGAUGGUCUUUCCUUUGAGUAUAUUUGCCUUUUAGUAUAGGUUAGAUAUAUAUAUAUGUAUAUAUUGUAAAUUUUUAUAAUUUAUAUAUAUAUAUAUUGUUAGUCAUCGCAUCAUUUAUCAAAACACUGAAGGCACCAUCAGAUAAGUGAAUAGCUUUGCAUCCUCUGUUAGUGCUAGCAACCAAACAACCCUCCGUCAUCGCCAUCGGGACAGAGUACUCUCUCCGGUGAUCCCAACCGUUUGUGGGGUCAUGAAAAUUUACUUCAAUCGUUUAAUGUUUUUUUUUUUGUGAGAGAGAAGAUGAUUUGGUCUUCAUCUCAAUCUUGCUAACUACUUCUCCUAUAUUUUCUUAAUCAAUUAUUAGUAGUUGAAAUUAAUUAAUAUUCCUUUUAGAGUUAUUCCCUUAGUAUAAGAGUUUACAUACUUAUGCCUCUGUUAGUUUAUUACUAGUACUCAACUCUGCGUAACUAGUAUUCAACUCUGUAUUGCUACAACUGAAGCUAUUUCUUUUUACCGACCGGUUUAAAUGAAAUUGAGAUUUUAUUUAGUUAUACUGGUACCAUGCGGGUGCUUAAUCUCAUUUGUUUUUGGUUAGCUACAUACUGAAUUAACAUCGAUUGAAAAACUAAAUCAAAAGUUUUUCUGGUUCACAUGUUCCUAUUGUUUUACUCCUAGUAGGGUUUCACUUUUCGGUUUUGAAUAAUUUUCCUUGUUGUUUAUGUAUUAGGUUUCAAACUUGUUUUAUACUUUUGAUUUUUGAGGUUUGCUUAAAGAAAGCAAUCAACAACUUUGAAUGGAAAAAGAGAAUGUCAUCGAUAUUUAGGACAUAUGAUGAGAAUUACGUGGAUGAAAUACUCCACAAAACCGAAUCACAUAGGUCCACAUGAUAAGUACUUCACGAAAUGGAAAAGCUAUGUUAUUGAUUUGAGCUUAGAUUUUAGUAAAUAAUAUUUAUGUGAUGUACUAGAAAUUGGAUUGUGCAGAAGAAAUUUCACAAAAUUCAAUUCACCGCAAGUUGUCACAGUAGGAAGUUAUGUAUUUAUUUCAAUAUGAUGCAAUCAUAAUAACCUCUGAAAUUGGCACUAAACUUGCAUUGAGACUAUUUAAGUGUCCAAUCCAGAUUAUUCUUGGUCCAGAUGAUAAGAAAACUUGCAUUGAGACUAUUUAAGUGUCCAAUCCAGAUUAUUCUUGGUCCAGAUGAUAAGGGUGGGCAUUUCAGUUGAAAUUCGGAUUUUAUUUGAGUUCGAUUUGGUUUGGUUGAUUCAGUUCUAAUAAAAUUUUAACUGAAAUCAACUGAAAUUAGUUUGGUUUGUGUUCGGCUUAAGUUUGGUUUGGUUUGAGUGUAGUAUAAUUCAAUAGGUUUGGUUUUUAAUUUGGUUAAUUUUUUUUUAUAAAACAUAAUAUAAAUCAUCAUUUGAUGAUCACAAAUUCAUUCACUUCUUCAUUUUCAAUAGAAGAUUUAAUCCAAUAAUUUGAAUCAUUAUUUUCAAACAUAGGAAUCAAUGCUUUUGAUAAUGUAGAAAAAUCAUGUUUCUUAUUGUCGUGAAACAAGCAUGUUUAAUCAAUGCUUUAAUUGUUUAUACUGAAUUAUUAACUAUCUUAAAUUUUAGUGUUGUUAGUACAUAUAGUUUUCUCGGUCGACAGUUGUGCAUAUAGUUAACCUAAUCAAACACACUUUGAGUUUUCAGUUCGUUUUUAAACCAAACUAAACCAUUUGUAUUGAUAAAAAUGUUAACCAAAUGGUUGAGAUAUAUACGUCAAUUUAGUUUAGAUCAAUUUGAUUUUGAUUGUUUUGGUUUGGCUUUGAUUGUUAUCUAAAGAUUAUCAUUAACAAUCAUUUUGAUUAGUUUGGUUUGGUUUUCUUUGUCAAAGCAUUUUCAGUGGUUUUUAACUCUUUUAUACUUUGUUUGAUUGUUAUCUAAAGAUUAUCAAAGUGUGAUCACACAUCAUAUGAUUAUACUUGGCAAUUCAUGUUUGAUCCUUUUUUUAAUCCAAAGAGCUGGUAGUUAAACAGGAUAGCUAGAAUCGAAGGAAAAAACGAACGAGAAAGUUAUACAAUCAAUCCAAAAUAAACCAAGCCAAAAGUAUAAAAUCUCAGACAAAAUCAAAAACAGUUUGAGCACACUGAUUAAGAUAAGCAAUGAAAGAAAACGGAGAGAGAAUUACUCAGAUCCCCUUUCUACCGGCAAUGGCUCCCACGCUUAGCAGGGUUCUUCUGACGUCCUUGAUCUUCUUCAAACCUGUAACCAAUCUGCCAAUUAUACUCGCUAAUGUCCACCUAGACUAAACCAUUAAAUAUAAUUAUAUUAGUUAGCUAUUAAAUAUCUAAAAACCAGCAAAGUAUUUAUAACCAAUUUACCUUUUUCCUCUUUAUCCUUUGGUUCCUCAAAGUCAAAAGAUGGGUCUUUGUAGUGCAUCUCCACGAAUAGAAUCCAGUAAGGAGGCUUGAAGGCUUUCUAGGGCAAACCCGAUGACACUCAUUGUCAUCAGCCGUCUCUUUACCCAUAAUCAUUAUCAUGACAUUUGCAGCUAUGGCAAUAAAACCUUGGAACCCUUCCACUCCUCCUAAAUCAUUUCCGUUGCUGCUUUUACAGAGAAUAAUGGGUUUUCCAUCGAUCAUCCUCAGCUCACACAUAAUGACUGCAUGUAAUCCUUCAAUUUCAGCAUCUUCUUUCAUUGGCCCUCUGUAUAUACCAGGCCUAUCCCAGCCUUUAAAUCCGUAAAGUGUUGCACCAACUGGGUGCGUUCUAAGCCUAACAAGAGCUUGGUCUAACGUUUCAUACACAUAACGUUUUAUUUUUUUGUGUUUCCUAGUCAAUGGGUUCACCACAAUCGUUACACUUUGCUUUAGCUGAAAAUCUUCUAAUCUUUUUAUUAUUAUUUGAGAAACAUUGUAAAUAAAUAACCUUUACCUUAUGUGUUAUUUACAUGAGUUCCAUUUCUUAUGUGGCAGCACCACAAACUCUCUCACAUCUUAAAUUUAAAAACCCUUUAUUAACUAGAUUAAUUACAAAAAUUGCCAUUGACCAAUAUUACAUUAUAAAUCCAUUAAUAAACUAUAAGUUUCUUUGUUAUUUCCUAACCAAACAAAUAAAACCAGCCACGUUUAAUGCUAAUACAUUAUUCAUUCCUAUAUCGAAGAGCAAAUAUUAUGCGAUCUCGAUAGUUAUCAAUCUUUUGGAUACACUUCACGUUAUAGUGAUAGCAUUAAAAUGUGAUCUCGAGAGUUAUUAUUAACAUGUUGUGUUAUAAAAUGUGUAAAAAUUAUAUAAUGCAUUCACACAUAUAUCAUAUUGUAUAAGAACUUUGAAUACCGGUAAUUUAAUAUAUUUUCAUGUACAAUCACAUAUCAUAUAAUAAGAUCUGGUUAUCUUUUUAAAUCCUUGGAGAGCUCCUAGAACCAUAUAAUGCAUUACUUGAAAGUGUAAAAAAAAAUAUAAUGCAUUACUAUGAAAACCAUAUGAACGUAGCUUUGUAAAGCAAAUAUACCACUUUGUCUUUUUGAUAUAUGUAUGACUAUGACAAGCUAAAUUAGUGAACCAUACGACAUUUAUAUGUUUUCUUGUUUGUAUGAGUCCAAAUUUUUAGAUCUGUAACUAUAAUGUCGUCUUUAUAUCAAGUUGAAAAUAAUAAAAACAAUACUACCACAAAUGUUUAAUUUGACACAUUCAGAAUGAAUAUAGCCUACCAAAUUCAAACUUAUCUCAAUCAAUCAAUAUUAAAGUUAUUUGUUUACUCUAUAUGGCAUUAAAUAAAAUGUAGCAAGCAAGGCCAAAUGAUAUCGUGAUUGUUAAAAUAAUCAUUUUUAAUAACUUUGUUAUAUUUUUCUGUUAUGAUUUUAGUAACCAAAUCGUGUUUAAAAGCCUAAUAAUAUGCGGUGAUUAAUUGGCUUAAUUUCGGUUCAUUACUAAGGAGGUGAUUAUGGGUAGUUUUCUUUAUCAAAAAGUGUGAUUGUUUUAUAUAAGAAAUUUAGAUUAUGGAUUCAAUAUUUGUAAAUCAAUUAAUACUCGACUAUAUUCCAUUUAAAAAAAUUUGUAGAGAAAUUUUAGGAAGUUUCGUUAUCGUGUCUAACAAAUUUAGAUUAGUCUUAGUAUACACCUUCUCGCCCAAGUUUUUUCAAUUAAAUAGGUUACAAAUUUAGGUUAGUCUUACUACUAUUUGUGUUUUAAACUGAUGCAUUUUUACUGGUUUUUCAAUAGGGUAAUACCAUCCAAGCCACAUUCUUCAGAGAUUUGGAUGCAUCAACUGAAAUGCCAUUGGAGGAAACUCAUUGCUAUGAAAUUAAAAAUUGCAUACUAACAACUCCAUCAGAGAGUCUUCGGUUGACAAAGAAACGAUAUCAUAUCAAACUCAAUAAGACCUCUAUCAUUGCGAUGAUCGAUCCAUUUCUCAAGUCCAACUAUUAUUGUUUUCCAAAGUUUGACAACCUCUAUCGUGGAUUCUACCAUCCUAAAUUUUCUAUUGAUAUGUUUAUAUCUGAUCUUCUUCUCUUUAAUAGUCAAGUUUAAUUAUAGCCGUAGUCGGCAAUAUUUUGAGUGUGAUUGUCUAAAGUUUUUUUUUCUUUUGUAAAGGGUUGUAGUAGGAGUAGGAUUUCUUGAAGAAUAUAUGACAGAACCUACCAUCUAGAACAAUGGUUUCAUUAACCAUAAGAUCCUUUCUUUGUAGUAAACAUGGAAUAAGUAUUUCACAUCUGAACUUAAAAGUUACGCAUUUAAUUAGUUUUAAGUUUUUAAGUUAUGAUUUUUUUUCAUUCAUUACAGUAACAUUGUCAUUAAGUGUGUUGCUUAUGGAGCACUUUCUCAUGUUUUCCAACACUUAUGGAAUUCUACAAAUGCAAAUGUUGUAGUCUGUGUGUUACAAUUUUGGAAAAUUAAUUGGAGAGAAGUUAAUUUAUAGUAUUACUUUAUAAUAGAAAUUUGUUGGAGAUGAUAUCCCCUUAAUAUUUUGCUCACCUAUCUUUUAUUUCAUUCUAAGGUCGAUUAAAGCAUGUGACCAACAUUGAUGGGUUUUCCAGAAUUAUUUUUGAAUCCAAUGAUGCUCCAAAAAUUGGUGAUUUCAGAAAAAAGGUAUAUCAAUUAGUUUAGUGCAUUUGGUUAUCAGCUAUGUUUUGUUCGGUAAACUAAUUCUUAGUUAUUUUUCUUUAUAGUAUUGCAAAUCAUGAGUUCUGAUGAUCUUUUUCGUGGCAUUUUAGUUUUAUUAUGUUUUUUAAUAAAUUGUUUCUUGCGUAUUUUAAUUUUCUAUUAUUUAUUUUCCUUUUAAAAUUGUAAUCAUAAUUUUAAUUAUGAUAACAAUUAAUCUAUUUCAAAUGUUUUGUUUUGUAUUAAAUUCACAACAAGUUGAUUGAUAUUAUUGCAUAAUAUUAUAUAUUUAUACAUAAAAAAUCUAAUUGACACAUAACCAAUUACACAAGCUUUUUCAAUUAAACAAUUAAUCGUUUAUUAUAUAUAUAUUCACACUUUCGUUUGAUAUCAAACAAUUAGAUCUAAUUUCUUUUAUGCAUAUAACUUAGUUAUUCGUAAUAUCGUAAGAUUAAAAUAAAAAUCUCCAAUAGUCUGGGCGCGGGUUAUCACCUAGUGCUAAUGUAUAUUUCAACAUGUGUUUAUUGGGUGAUAUUAAAGACUUUGUUUCAGACUGAGUUUUGACUUUGCAGUUUGGUCUCAGCAUCAGGUGCUGGGUUGGCAAUAUCACUUGUGAGCGAAGGCUUGAAAGUAAAGCCUGCACACGCACUCUCCACCGCUGCUGUUUUCGCUGUUGUUUCAGGAACAAUCUAUAAGGUGAGUGAGACAAUCAAAUCGCACAAUGCCCAAGACGCCUUUUACACAGAGACAAGAGUUAUGCUAUCGAAGCUAGGCCUAGAGGAAUACGAGAAGAACUUCAAGAAGGGACAUCUCACUGAUCCCACUUUACCAUUUCUUACUGAUAGCGUCCUACAAGAAGUUAACAUUCCACCAGGGCCAAGGCUUCUGAUACUUGAUCAUAUCCAGAGGUACCAUAAGAUGGUAAACCGCAAGUGAGGAAAGCAGUCUAUUGGUGAUGACUUAGAAUCUUGGAGGUAGUCGUAGUUUCUAAUAAUCUGCAACUUUUAUUUUUAUUUUUCGUUAAAGUUAUUUUGGUUUAUAAUAAAAAUUAGAGACGGUUUUUGUUUAGUUAAAUUUGGACAGAAUAUGCGUGAAGCAUCUUCGUUAUGGUGUUUUCAAAUAGUUACAUAGUUUAAAACAAAAAUAAUAAAAUGUAAGAAAGAAAAAGAGAAACCUCAUUUGAGAAUUUCUAAAAUACUGACAAGAAUCAUGAAUGUUAUUUAUUUCUUACCUAGUAGUUUAUUUUCUCUUCUUCUUGAAUCUAUUUAUAUAGCAAACUUAUUAUUUUAAAAUAUUAAUAUAUAUCAUGUUUGAGAUAAUCUUACAGUUUUUACUAUUGAAGAUGUCAUUAGGGUAAAUUUCAUGAAUAUCAGUCCAAAAGAAUUUGCGACAAAACCUUGUUUUGGAAAUUUUAGGCAUAUUUGAAAGUAUUUUAUGUCUUUCACGUAAGAGUUACAUGCACACAUCACGAAUUCAUCUUUUUUUUUAUCUAAAAGUUUUUAUUCAAUAUUAUCCGUCAAAGAUAAAAAUUGAUAUGAUACAUGGCAUAAGAAAAAACUAAAACAAGUUCUUGAAAAACAAUCUAACCCUUUAGAAAAUAUGAUCUGAUAAAAUCAAUGAUGAAAUCCAGACUAAAAUUUGGUUGGAUGUUGCCAAUACAUUAAUAUCAGAAUAACCUUGUUCGGUGUUCAUUAACAAUCGAAGUGUUUUACCGCAUAUCACAAUAGGUUUUGAUUACUUUCAUUGUUCUCCACAUGAAGAUAAAUCUUUUUCUUUGGUUAAAUCUGUUCCAAAAAUAAAUUCCUUCAGAAAAUUUUGCUUUGAAAUCCGUCGAACAAUUUGUGGUAACCAUAAUAACAAAGAUCGGAGUAAAACAAAUAUAUCUCCGACCACAAAUACAGGCGAAAAACAAAAAAAAAUAUCUCUCGAAACUUUGAAAAAAAAAAAAAAAGAAUGAAAUCAUAAUAU